rnacentral:rRNA from 1 species
GUAGGGAAUAUUGGACAAUGGGCGAAAGCCUGAUCCAGCCAUGCCGCGUGUGUGAAGAAGGUCUUCGGAUUGUAAAGCACUUUAAGUUGGGAGGAAGGGCAGUAAGUUAAUACCUUGCUGUUUUGACGUUACCGACAGAAUAAGCACCGGCUAACUUCGUGCCAGCAGCCGCGGUAAUACGAAGGGUGCAAGCGUUAAUCGGAAUUACUGGGCGUAAAGCGCGCGUAGGUGGUUCAGCAAGUUGGAGGUGAAAUCCCCGGGCUCAACCUGGGAACUGCCUCCAAAACUACUGGGCUAGAGUACGGUAGAGGGUAGUGGAAUUUCCUGUGUAGCGGUGAAAUGCGUAGAUAUAGGAAGGAACACCAGUGGCGAAGGCGACUACCUGGACUGAUACUGACACUGAGGUGCGAAAGCGUGGGGAGCAAACAGGAUUAGAAACCCCAGUAGUCC